rnacentral:tRNA from 6 species
GGGGAUGUGGGCCAGCCUGGUAAGCUUCCGGCUUUGGGAGCCGGCGACCCCGGUUCAAAUCCGGGCAUCCCCA